rnacentral:rRNA from 1 species
UACGUAGGGGGCUAGCGUUGUCCGGAUUUACUGGGCGUAAAGAGCUCGUAGGUGGUUUGUCGCGUUGUCCGUGAAAACUCACAACUCAAUUGUGGGCGUGCGGGCGAUACGGGCAGACUGGAGUACUGCAGGGGAGACUGGAAUUCCUGGUGUAGCGGUGGAAUGCGCAGAUAUCAGGAGGAACACCGGUGGCGAAGGCGGGUCUCUGGGCAGUAACUGACGCUGAGGAGCGAAAGCGUGGGGAGCGAACAGG